rnacentral:rRNA from 1 species
AUUGAACGCUGGCGGCAGGCCUAACACAUGCAAGUCGAGCGAGCGGCGGACGGGUGAGUAAUGUCUGGGGGACUGCCUGAUGGGGGGGGAUAACUACUGGAAACGGUAGCUAAUACCCCAUACCAUCAGAUGUGCCCAGAUGGGGGUAGCGAGUAGGUGGGGUAACGGCUCACCUAGGCGACGAUCCCUAGCUGGUCUGAGAGGAUGACCAGCCACACUGGAACUGAGACACGGUCCAGACUCCGACGGGAGGCAGCAGUGGGGAAUAUUGCACAAUGGGCGCAAGCCUGAUGCAGCCAUGCCGCGUGUGUGAAGAAGGCCUUCGGGUUGUAAAGUACUUUCAGCGGGGAGGCGUUACCCGCAGAAGAAGCACCGGCUAACUCCGUGCCAGCAGCCGCGGUAAUUC